UACGAAGGGGGCUAGCGUUGUUCGGAUUUACUGGGCGUAAAGCGCACGUAGGCGGAUUGGUCAGUUAGGGGUGAAAUCCCGGAGCUCAACUCCGGAACUGCCUUUAAUACUGCCAGUCUCGAGUCCGGAAGAGGUAAGUGGAACUGCGAGUGUAGAGGUGAAAUUCGUAGAUAUUCGCAAGAACACCAGUGGCGAAGGCGGCUUACUGGUCCGGUUCUGACGCUGAGGCGCGAAAGCGUGGGGAGCAAACAGGG
rnacentral:rRNA from 1 species